CAUAAAAAUGGGCCUUGAACUGAAACUUGGAAGCUGGGCAAUUAGCAUAUUUGAAAAGAAGCCAACUGGUCUUUUGUUAUUCCAUGGGGCAGAAGGGGCUUUUCCAUGCUCUUCUAAAUGACAAAAAGGGUUUGUGCUUGGGGCAUUUUAAAAUGAAGCAGUAGCCUUAGACAUGGAUGUUUAUACACAGAGCUCACCAGAAUAUCGUCUCUGUGCUGCCCAGAUGAUGUCUGUGUAGGGGGCUGCAAGACCCCAAGUUCCUCUGCUGACCAGAGGAACCGGAGCACUUUAAUGUGGAAAUUGGAAGCCUAGGAACUUUGUGUUUAAAGUAGAACUGCUGGAAGUGGCCAAGUCCACAGCGGAUUUCCAGAAUGCCCUGAGAGAAAAUGCUGACCCGACAACUGGCAAAUGCGUCCUGAGUGCCUCCUCCCCAGGAGGCGCUAGUUUAGCAGAAAUUUGGAGCUGGGCUGGGCAGUGAUAUGGAAAGAAGUAUGCAGUCUAAGUAGGAGGGUCAUCGGUAUCUAGAAAGCUAAAAGCACAAGGCUGUCUGCUGGUUCCAGGUCCUGAGUUCAUUCCAGACCAGAAGGUUCAGGAAACGGACUUCACCUGUUGGGGGGAGAAGCUGUUAAAUACUGUGGCCACUUCUGCAAUCUACAGCCCUGAUUUUAAAACUGAGACUGUAUUCCUCAGGGAAAGAGCUGUGCUUCAUGAAAGAAAGAAAGGAAUCCUCAGAAAACUGCCACAGUAGGCUGGGAUGAGCAAAGAGAAGUAAGUUGCUUAGAAUAAAAAUCUUUUUAAAAAUUUGUUUUAAAUUUCC
rnacentral:lncRNA from 13 species